rnacentral:rRNA from 1 species
GACGAACGCUGGCGGCGUGCUUAAUACAUGCAAGUCGAACGGAAAGGCCCUGCUCUUGUGGGGGGCUCGAGUGGCGAACGGGUGAGUAACACGCGAGUAACCCGCCCUUGUCAUUGGGAUAACUCAAGGAAAAAGCGGCUACUACCGGAUAGGAGCUCCUGCUCCAUGGUGGGGGUUGGAAAGUUUCGGUGGUUGGGGAUGGACUAGAGGCUUAUCAGCCUGCUAGUUGGGUAGUGGCUUCCCAAGCCUUAGACGGGUAGCCGGCCUGAGAGGGUGACCGGGCUCAUGGGGACUGAGAGACGGACCAGAAGGCUACAGGAGGCAGCGGUGGGGAAUAUUGCACAGUGGGGCGGAGCCUGAGACAGCAGUGCUGCGUGCGGGAUGCCGGGCUACGGGUGAUAAACAGCUUUCGCCGGUAACGAGGCGUGAGUGACGUUAAUGGGUAAGAAAGCACCGGCUAACUACGUG